rnacentral:rRNA from 1 species
UGGGGAAUAUUGCACAAUGGGCGCAAGCCUGAUGCAGCAACGCCGCGUGAAGGAAGACGGUUUUCGGAUUGUAAACUUCUGUUCUUAGUGAAGAAGAAUGACGGUAGCUAAGGAGCAAGCCACGGCUAACUACGUGCCAGCAGCCGCGGUAACACGUAGGUGGCAAGCGUUGUCCGGAAUUACUGGGUGUAAAGGGAGCGCAGGCGGGGGAACAAGUCAGUUGUGAAAUCCAUGGGCUUAACCCGUGAACUGCAGUUGAAACUGUUCUUCUUGAGUGAAGUAGAGGUUGGCGGAAUUCCGAGUGUAGCGGUGAAAUGCGUAGAUAUUCGGAGGAACACCGGUGGCGAAGGCGGCCAACUGGGCUUUAACUGACGCUGAGGCUCGAAAGUGUGGGGAGCAAACAGGAUUAGAUACC